rnacentral:rRNA from 1 species
GACGAACGCUGGCGGCGUGCCUAAUACAUGCAAGUCGAACGGGAGCGACCGGUGCUUGCACUGGUCAAUCUAGUGGCGAACGGGUGAGUAACACGUGGGUAACCUGCCCAUCAGAGGGGGAUAACAUCCGGAAACGGAUGCUAAAACCGCAUAGGUCUUCGAACCGCAUGGUUUGAAGAGGAAAAGAGGCGCAAGCUUCUGCUGAUGGAUGGACCCGCGGUGCAUUAGCUAGUUGGUGAGGUAACGGCUCACCAAGGCCGUGAUGCAUAGCCGACCUGAGAGGGUGAUCGGCCACAUUGGGACUGAGACACGGCCCAAACUCCUACGGGAGGCAGCAGUAGGGAAUCUUCCGCAAUGGACGCAAGUCUGACGGAGCAACGCCACGUGAGUGAAGAAGGUUUUCGGAUCGUAAAACUCUGUUGUUAGAGAAGAACAAGUGCUAGAGUAACUGUUAGCGCCUUGACGGUAUCUAACCAGAAAGCCACGGCUAACUACGUG